AGGCCAAAGGAUGAUUGUGGAUUUAAAUUUCUCACGACGGUCGUCUGAUACACUUUGUGUGAAUAUUGAUGUAUUUAUAAUAGAAUUAUGAGAGGCU